rnacentral:rRNA from 1 species
AUACGUAGGGAGCGAGCGUUACCCGGAAUUACUGGGCGUAAAGAGCACGUAGGCGGUUGGAUAAGUCUCCUGUGAAAGCUCCUGGCUUAACUGGGAGAGGUCAGGGGAUACUAUUCGACUUGAGGGCUGUAGAGGUAAGCGGAAUUCCCGGUUUAGCGGUGAAAUGCGUAGAUAUCGGGAGGAACACCAGCGGCGAAAGCGGCUUACUGGGCAGUGCCUGACGCUGAGGUGCGAGAGCGUGGGGAGCAAACAGGAUUAGAAACCCCAGUAGUCC